rnacentral:rRNA from 1 species
GUGCCAGCAGCCGCGGUAAUACGGAGGAUGCAAGCGUUAUCCGGAUUUAUUGGGUUUAAAGGGUGCGUAGGCGGUUUGUCAAGUCAGCGGUGAAACGCAAGGGCUCAACCCUUGACCUGCCGUUGAAACUGGCGGACUUGAAUGCGGAUGCUGUGGGAGGAAUGUGUGGUGUAGCGGUGAAAUGCAUAGAUAUCACACAGAACACCGAUUGCGAAGGCAUCUCACAAAUCCGUGGUUGACGCUGAGGCACGAAAGUGUGGGGAUCAAACAGGAUUAGAUACCCUGGUAGUCCACACUGUAAACGAUGAUAACUCGCUGUCGGCGAUACACAGUCGGUGGCCAAGCGAAAGCGAUAAGUUAUCCACCUGGGGAGUACGACCGCAAGGUUGAAACUCAAAGGAAUUGACGGGGGCCCGCACAAGCGGAGGAACAUGUGGUUUAAUUCGAUGAUACGCGAGGAACCUUACCCGGGCUCGAACGGUAGACGAACAAUGUAGAGAUACAGCGGUCCUUCGGGACGUCUAUCGAGGUGCUGCAUGGUUGUCGUCAGCUCGUGCCGUGAGGUGUCGGCUUAAGUGCCAUAACGAGCGCAACCCUUGCCGUUAGUUACCAGCACGUCGUGGUGGGGACUCUAGCGGGACUGCCACCGUAAGGUGAGAGGAAGGGGGGGAUGACGUCAAAUCAGCACGGCCCUUACGUCCGGGGCGACACACGUGUUACAAUGGUGGGUACGGAGGGCAGCUACCUGGCGACAGGAUGCAAAUCUCGAAAACCCAUCUCAGUUCGGAUCGGAGUCUGCAACUCGACUCCGUGAAGUUGGAUUCGCUAGUAAUCGCGCAUCAGCCAUGGCGCGGUGAAUACGUUCCCGGGCCUUGUACACACCGCCCGU